CUCGGAGUUCUCUGGUAAUGGACUGCCUUGACACUUGGCCUUGGAUGGUCCUGCAGCCUUUUCCAGGAUGGAUCGUGAUUGCUGUUGGAAUCGCAUGGGAUGAUGCUGCUGAUGAAAACUGGCCUGCACCAUUUAGCAGGUAGCGCACAGGUCAGUGUACAAUUAACAGCUGGAUCAAUAUUACCCCUGAUUCU
rnacentral:lncRNA from 1 species